UACGUAGGGACCGAGCGUUGUCCGGAAUCAUUGGGCGUAAAGAGCGUGUAGGCGGCUCGCUAAGUCUUGCGUGAAAUCUCGGGGCUCAACCCCGAGCGGUCGUGAGAAACUGGCGGGCUAGAGUGCGGGAGAGGAGAGUGGAAUUCCUGGUGUAGCGGUGAAAUGCGCAGAUAUCAGGAAGAACACCCGUGGCGAAGGCGGCUCUCUGGAACGCAACUGACGCUGAGGCACGAAGGCCAGGGGAGCAAACGGG
rnacentral:rRNA from 1 species